rnacentral:rRNA from 1 species
UUUUAAUGAGAGUUUGAUCCUGGCUCAGGACGAACGCUGGCGGCGUGCCUAAUACAUGCAAGUAGAACGCUGAUGUUUGGUGUUUACACUGGACUGAUGAGUUGCGAACGGGUGAGUAACGCGUAGGUAA